AGCGAACGCUGGCGGCAGGCUUAACACAUGCAAGUCGAGCGGGCGUAGCAAUACGUCAGCGGCAGACGGGUGAGUAACGCGUGGGAACGUACCUUUUGGUUCGGAACAACACAGGGAAACUUGUGCUAAUACCGGAUAAGCCCUUACGGGGAAAGAUUUAUCGCCGAAAGAUCGGCCCGCGUCUGAUUAGCUAGUUGGUGAGGUAACGGCUCACCAAGGCGACGAUCAGUAGCUGGUCUGAGAGGAUGAUCAGCCACAUUGGGACUGAGACACGGCCCAAACUCCUACGGGAGGCAGCAGUGGGGAAUAUUGGACAAUGGGCGAAAGCCUGAUCCAGCCAUGCCGCGUGAAUGAUGAAGGCCUUAGGGUUGUAAAAUUCUUUUGCAGGGGAAGAUAAUGACGGUACCCUGCGAAUAAGCUCCGGCUAAACUUCGUGCCAGCAGCCGCGGU
rnacentral:rRNA from 1 species